GCCUGCACGGGAAAACGCAUUAUCCCGUGCGGGCGGCUUAAUCCAACCGCACGCGAUAAUCAUAUUAUCCCGUGCAGGC
rnacentral:pre_miRNA from 11 species